CAGAGGGGGCAAGCGUUGUCCGGAGUUACUGGGCGUAAAGCGCACGCAGGCGGCUCAUCGCGUGUGGGGUGAAAGCUCCGGGCUUAACCCGGAGUCGCCCCGCAUACGGGUGGGCUCGAGCCAGUCAGAGGUCCCUCGAAUUGCCGGUGUAGUGGUGAAAUGCGUAGAGAUCGGCAGGAAGACCCACGGGGAAGCCAGGGGACUGGGACUGUGCUGACGCUCAGGUGCGAUAGCGUGGGGAGCGAACCGGAUU
rnacentral:rRNA from 1 species